rnacentral:ribozyme from 13 species
CUUCUUUCUUUUUUGGUUUUCUUCUUUGGUUUCUUUGUUGUUUUUCUUGGUAGAGACGAACACAAAGAAGAUGUCAUCAACAGCAGGAAAAAAGAAGAGAAAAAGGAAAGAUAAUCAAAUUUUAACAAAAGAAAAAGGAGAGAAAAAGAGAAAAA